GACGAACGCUGGCGGCGCGCCUAACACAUGCAAGUCGAACGGAGACAUUCUUAGCUUGCUUUGAAUGUCUUAGUGGCGGACGGGUGAGUAACACGUGAGCAACCUGCCUUUCAGAGGGGGAUAACGUUCGGAAACGAACGCUAAUACCGCAUAAUGUAUACGGACGGCAUCGUCUGUAUACCAAAGGAGCAAUCCGCUGAAAGAUGGGCUCGCGUCCGAUUAGCUAGAUGGUGAGGUAACGGCUCACCAUGGCGACGAUCGGUAGCCGGACUGAGAGGUUGAUCGGCCACAUUGGGACUGAGACACGGCCCAGACUCCUACGGGAGCAGCAGUGAGGGAUAUUGGGCAAUGGGGCAACCCGUGACCCAGCGACGCCGCGUGAGGGAUGACGGUCUUCGGAUUGUAAACCUCUGUCUUCGGGGACGAAAAAGGACGGUACCCGAGGAGGAAGCUCCGGCUAACUACGUG
rnacentral:rRNA from 1 species